CGCGGGGUGGAGCAGUUGGUAGCUCGUCGGGCUCAUAACCCGAAGGUCGUAGUUCUUACAUUUACAGCAU
rnacentral:tRNA from 1 species